AGGAUAAUAGUUAACUAUAACAUUUAAUUUGCAUUUAAAAAGUGUUGAUCCCAACUUAUCUUA
rnacentral:tRNA from 1 species